ACGGGUGAGUAACGCGUGGGAAUCUACCGUACCCUACGGAAUAGCUCUGGGAAACUGGAAGUAAUACCGUAUACGCCCGAAAGGGGAAAGAUUUAUCGGGGUAUGAUGAGCCCGCGUUGGAUUAGCUAGUUGGUGGGGUAAAGGCCUACCAAGGCGACGAUCCAUAGCUGGUCUGAGAGGAUGAUCAGCCACAUUGGGACUGAGACACGGCCCAAACUCCUACGGGAGGCAGCAGUGGGGAAUAUUGGACAAUGGGCGCAAGCCUGAUCCAGCCAUGCCGCGUGAGUGAUGAAGGUCUUAGGAUUGUAAAGCUCUUUCAACGGUGAAGAUAAUGACGGUAACCGUAGAAGAAGCCCCGGCUAACUUCGUGCCAGCAGCCGCGGUAAUACGAAGGGGGCUAGCGUUGUUCGGAAUUACUGGGCGUAAAGCGCACGUAGGCGGGUAUUUAAGUCAGGGGUGAAAUCCCGCAGCUCAACUGCGGAACUGCCUUUGAUACUGGGUAUCUUGAGUAUGGAAGAGGUAAGUGGAAUUGCGAGUGUAGAGGUGAAAUUCGUAGA
rnacentral:rRNA from 1 species